rnacentral:rRNA from 1 species
UACGUAGGGUGCAAGCGUUGUCCGGAAUUAUUGGGCGUAAAGAGCUCGUAGGCGGUUUGUCGCGUCUGCUGUGAAAACUCGGGGCUUAACCCCGGGCCUGCAGUGGGUACGGGCAGACUAGAGUGCGGUAGGGGAGACUGGAAUUCCUGGUGUAGCGGUGAAAUGCGCAGAUAUCAGGAGGAACACCGGUGGCGAAGGCGGGUCUCUGGGCCGGUAACUGACGCUGAGGAGCGAAAGCGUGGGGAGCGAACAGG